GACAGUUCGAGCUUCGAGUAAUUGGCGAGGAGUACGAUAAUGUUGGAGAUGCGAGUCUCCUCUUCUAUAAACUGUGAGUGUUUGCAUUCGACCACAUCAUCGAGGUACAUUAUCGUAAGUCAAAGAUAAUAUCUAGCAAGAAGAGAUCCAAAUCGAGCAUGAGUUUUCGUUAGCAGCUUCAAAGUACAUAUUUACGCAUUUCUCUCUCAGCGAUACACACCGCUAUUCUUACUUCAAUCACGUAAGAAGCGGAUAUCGGUGUGCGCUCAAACGUAUAGCGAAGUGAAACACUCGCCAGACAACCUGACGCGAUUGUUGUUCGAUGCUACGG